rnacentral:misc_RNA from 1 species
UGAGGAUAAGCAUAAGCUCGAUAUAAUAAGGAAUAGAAGUCCAGACGCCAGACCGCCCCACUGCCCACUCCUGUAAUUUGCUCUGUGUAAUGAAGAUACCCGACAUUCCUAGUACGGCGCAAUAAAUCCCUCCCUCCAGAUUUAAGGUUACUGCUUCUGUGAGCACCCAUAAACACUUCGUUCUUUAAUCGCUUUUCCCCACAGAUUGGUGAGCUGGGCUUUUAUAGAUUAGAGGGAGGGAGGAUGAUGGCGGUUUCUGAUGCAGUGAUAGGGAAUUUAACGAUGAUCUAUGUCGCAAUUAUCGCGGGGAUUAAGGCUUAUGGGUUAGUCAUUGGGCGGAGCUUCAGUGGGGGAUUUGUAUUGGUUGUGUCCACCACCCUGGUGGGUUUAAUCUUGAUUGCGUCGCUCACUUGGGACUUGUCUCGAAAAGUUACGCACGCAAUAUCGCGAGAUCACAUUCAUGUCCACGAAAUGUGCAAGGGUGGUAUUUGUUGGCAUGGCGUUGCGGUUCGGUCUCCGGCUUCCCAGGUUUG